AACGCGGUAACCAAGGAGACCGAGGCGGAAGCUCCGGAUAGCUCCAGCAGGCGGUGGUGACGCAGGGGGCUGGGGUCUCCAGAAAGAGAAGUUCACUUUUGAUGGAAGAAAUCUGCAUCGUAGAGGUGGCCUUCCAACCUGGCAAUGAAUGGAAUAAAACUUGACGUUUUUGCAAAUCACAAUAAUUUUUAGAUAAUAUCAAGACAGUGGGGGGAAAAAAAAGGCAGUAAUCAUGAACACCAAAGAUUUUGUAGUUCUUCCAUGGGGGAAACCUGGAAAUUCCGUAAAACUAAAAUACAAAAAUGCUCAGGAACUGAGGAUGGAGAAGAUACAGUUAGAGUUGGAGAACCAACAAAUGGAAAAGAAACUACAGGAAUUCCAAUCAAUUUGGAGCAGAGAAAAGGAAGAAAGAGGGUCAAGUGGAUAUCACUGGAAAUCUGGGCAAGUGGGAAAAUUGAGUAAUCAAUCACACAUAAUGUCACAAAGUAAAGGAAAUAUUAUUAAGCUUUCUGCUGGAAAAGUGAAAUUAAAAUUACUAAAGGAGCAACUUCAAGAGCCAGUGAAACAACCACUUAAUCAUAAAAUGGCCAGUUCUUCUGAAAGUGAAAAAUCCAAGAUAAAAGGGAAGGUUUGUGGACAGUGUGAGAACAAAGCUGCUGUGCUGGUAUGCCUUGAGUGUGGCGAAGAUUAUUGCUCAGGUUGCUUUGCUAAAAUUCACCAGAAGGGGGCACUGAAGCUCCAUAGAACAACUCUUUUGCAGGCAAAAUCUCAAAUAUUAUCCAAUGUAUUGGAUGUUGCCCAUCGGUUUAUCAAGGAUAUGAAUCCAGAUGAACAGAAAGGGGAGAAUAAUUCUGUAAAAGAGAUUAGUAAAAGUCAGCAUAAACCCAGAUCUCUUCCUCUGCAGGGGAGCAAUUCUGAGGUAGACGUUCCAACCACAAAAAGAGCAGAAUGUUCAAAUCCAAGAGAUAGGCUCCUGUGUGAAGAGUCAUUUGAUGAAGAGGCUUCUUCCCAGUCCUUUCAGGAAGCUUUAAAUCAAUGGAGAACUGGACACCAUGCUGACAACGAGAGUCAGAACUUACGUGCGGCAAAAGCAGACUCAUUGGGAGAAUGUGAAGUACAAACUAAUCUGAAAAUUUGGAGAGAACCACUCAAUAUUGAAUUUAAAGAAGACAGUCUUUCGUAUAUGGAAAAAUUAUGGCUUAAAAAACACAGAAGAACUCCACAGGAGCAACUUCGAAACAUGCUGCCAGAUGCAUUCAUACCUCAAUGUAACACUGCUGGUGAGGCACAGUGUUCCCAGAAUGAACGUGAUGAAGACAGUGAUGUUGAGGAGACCAAACAAUACCCAGCACUUUUUCUGCCAGUAGAAGAAUUUAACAUAGAGAGACCCAAGCCAUCUCUAAAUAUAGUUGAACUGGAUGAUACUUAUGAAGAGGAAUUUGAAGAACCAGGAAACACAGUGCCCUACAAAGUUGAGUUAGCAGAUGUAGACAGUCAACAAAGUUGCACGUUUCAUAAUUAUCAGAAUACUUUUCUAUAUGAAAAUGACAUUCAUCAACGUCAUGUUUUCACCAAGGGAAAAGCAGACCUCUUACAUCUACAUCUGAACAACAGCUCUUCCUCCUGUAAAAAUAACUCAAAAGCAGUAACUUCAGAUACAAAAUUUGACACCAUUGUGGAUCCUGAUGUUUAUUCUCCUGCCACUGAAAAGUUAGGGGAAAGCAGCUUUUUUGAAAGAAAUUUCAAGGAGAAAACUAUAGAUAUGGAAAGUAAUCAAAAGUCUGAUGAUUCCUGCAUAUCACUUGAGAGCAAGGAUUCUUUGCCAAGCAGAGGUUUAGAAAAACCUUCCAUUAAGGAGCAAUUAUCUCAGGACAUCAAAGAAUCCUUGGAAUUUAGCAAUCUGCAUGAGAGGCCAAACGCUGAAGAUUCUAAAACUACAGAGUCACCACUGUUGUUACGAGAAAUAGCCCUCAGAAGUAAGCCUAUAACUGAACAAUAUCAAGGACUUGAAAGAUUCUUUGUUUUUGAUAAAAAUGAGAGACUCAACUUACUUCCUUCUCAUAGCUUAGAAUGCAGCUAUUCCAGUACUAGGAUUACAACUGCAGGAGACCGAGAGUGGAUGCCAGGCCACAGCAUAAGUGCCUCGGCUGAUCACGCAGUUGUCUUGGGUGUUGUGCAGACUGCCCAGAACCUGUCCAUGAGCAGAACACAGCGAAAGAGGGGGGAGAUAUCACAGAGACCUUCAACAGCACAUAUACCCCUCUCCAACUCUGUUAAGAAAAGCUCCGGUUGCCUCUUCUCCCAUCCUCGAUCAAGAAGUGCAGCUGUUCGAUCGUUAUCUAGAGCUGCUUCUGAAAUUUCAGAAAUUGAAUACAUUGAUAUUACUGACCACACUGAGCCUUUCUUAGAUGACACUGCUGAUCAGCAAACCUUAGACAAUUUGGAAAAAGAAUUAAAUGUGCUGGGAAAUCUUGCAGAUCCUUCAGAAAAACUUUACAGUCUAACCUCAGAAGAGUUACCAGCCUUCAACAACCACUUGCUGGACAUAAGUCAGACUACUGGAGAUUUCCUUAAAAGCUCAAGUGCUGGAGGCCUCUGGGGAGUUGAGGAACAGAGCUCUUCUGAAAAAGAUACUGAAAUUCAGUCUUUGCUGACACUUUCUGAAAGCAGCACGGAGGAGGAGGAGGAAGAGGAUUUUCUUGACCGGCAACACGUCAUCACACUCCCAUAAUCAAAGAGUGCCUAAUGAUAAUGAUCAUUUGUUCAUUACGUUUUCCAUUUGGUACCCAGAGUAAAGCAAACAGCUGAAAAAAGUGACCAAGUGAUUACUUGUCCCCGGUGCUGGAGAUUUGAUUGUUAAUGUUUCUGAUAUUUCAAGAUUGGCAGACUAAUAAAAAUCAGUGAAAUUGACAUCUUCAUUCCUCUGAUGAAGAAGAAAAUUGCUCCCUAGGUGCAAUUUAUAAAAGUCCAGUGUUUCUCUCAACGUGGAAGGAGGUGUUGUCUUAUUCUCAUUAAGGGAGAAGGACCACUGCUAUUCCUUCUGUCUUGAGUCUUGGCUUGAGUCUUUUAUAAACUAGCUCAGAAAGAGAUUUUAUAAGAUACUGUUACCUUUUACAAUGUAAAAAUUUUUAAAUAAAAAUAAAUCUGAGAA